rnacentral:rRNA from 1 species
UGUGAAUUGCAGAAUUCAGUGAAUCAUCGAAUCUUUGAACGCACAUUGCGCCCGGCGGCAAUCUGCCGGGCAUGCCUGUCCGAGCGUCAUUUCUUCCCUCGAGCGCGGCUAGCCCUACGGGGCCUGCCGUCGCCCGGUGUUGGGGCUCUACGGGUGGGGCUCGUCCCCCCCGCAGUCCCCGAAAUGUAGUGGCGGUCCAGCCGCGGCGCCCCCUGCGUAGUAGAUCCUACAUCUCGCAUCGGGUCCCGGCGAAUGCCAGCCGUCGAACCUUUUUAUUUCAUGGGUUGACCUCGGAUCAGGUAGG